UGUGGGUUCGAGUCCCAUCUGGGUCGCCA
rnacentral:piRNA from 6 species